UCCUCCUCUGAAUCAGAAGGGGAGCCC
rnacentral:piRNA from 1 species